AUUGAACGCUAGCGGGAUGCUUUACACAUGCAAGUCGAACGGCAGCGCGGACUUCGGUCUGGCGGCGAGUGGCGAACGGGUGAGUAAUGUAUCGGAACGUGCCCAGUAGCGGGGGAUAACUACGCGAAAGCGUGGCUAAUACCGCAUACGCCCUACGGGGAAAGGGGGGGAGUUCUUCGGAACCUCUCACUAUUGGAGCGGCCGAUAUCGGAUUAGAAAACUGUUGGUGGGUAAAGGCCUACCAAGGCGACG
rnacentral:rRNA from 1 species